rnacentral:rRNA from 1 species
GUGAGGAAUAUUGUGCAAUGGAGGCAACUCUGACGCAGCCAUGCCGCGUGCAGGAAGAAGGCGCUACGCGUUGUAAACUGCUUUUAACCGGGAAGAAACCCCAGGACGUGUCCUGGGUUGACGGUACCGGAGGAAUAAGCACCGGCUAACUUCGUGCCAGCAGCCGCGGUAAUACGAAGGGUGCAAGCGUUAUCCGGAUUCAUUGGGUUUAAAGGGUGCGUAGGCGGAGCGUUAAGUCAGUGGUGAAAUCCUGCAGCUUAACUGUAGACUUGCCAUUGAUACUGGCGCUCUUGAGUGCGCUUGAAGUGGGCGGAAUGUGCCGUGUAGCGGUGAAAUGCUUAGAUAUGGCACAGAACACCAAUUGCGAAGGCAGCUCACUAAGGCGAUACUGACGCUGAGGCACGAAAGCGUGGGGAUCGAACAGGAUUAGAUACCCGGGUAGUCC